GAAUGAGAUGGAUUUUAUUUGAUUUAAGUUUUAGCUCCCGAGAGGCGCAGCGGUCUAAGGCACUGCAUCUCAGUGCAAGAGGCGUCACUACAGUCCCUGGUUCGAAUCCAGGCUGUAUCACAUCCGGCCGUAAUUGGCCCAGCGCCGUCCGGGUUUGGCAGGGGAUACCCACAAGCCUCACAAGACUCGUCUGAAGGUCGCCAGUACCACUUUAAAACAUUAUGCCAAAGAUUUGCCCUUUAUCAUCAUGUCUGACUGUUUCAUGGCAGUGUCACCACUGUGGUGACUUCACUCUGAGUGCCAGGGGAGCACAGGGGGGUCUACAGUGCUGCUGGGAACACACAGAGGGGUGUCAGUCUGAGGGACCUGGGCAGGGAGGAGAGGGACAUAUCUAAUCUUAGACAGGCAGCCCAAUUUUUUUUCUCCACUAAUUGGUCUUUUGACCAAUCACAUCAGAUCUUUUCACAUCAGAUAUUUUUCAGAGCUGAUCUGAUUGGUCAAAAGACCAAUUAGUGAAAAAAAAAAUUGGGUUGGUUGUGAGGAGAUGGUUCUUACCUCUGGGUCGUCGGUACCCAUGGUGCACAGCCCAUACGUGAUAACCAUCACACUGAUCAGCAUCUCCAGCACCAAGAAACCAAUCAGAAUGCCCAGCAUGCCAUUGAUCAGGAGCUUCACAGGAAGGAAGCCAUGCAGAGACACAACAGAGGAGACAUUUACACACCACACCAGCAUCAUGUUGGUUUUGUCUUAUUCGUUUCACCUGUUUUUUGUUUAGGUUUUUAGUUGGGCUAUUUAAGCCGGUAAGGCCCGCCUGCUCUUUGUGAGGGCUUAUUUUCCCUCUGUUGUUUCUGUGUGGUAGUGCGUUUCAGUUUGGGUGUUUUUCCGGACUGUUUAGGUCCUGGUUUUGGGCCGGUUGUUUAUGUGCGCCCUGUAUUGGUGUGUACUAUUUUCUCUGUGCCGGAGAUUAAAGCAUUGAUCUGUACCUUCUGCCUCCUGCGCCUGACUCCGCACCCACUACGCCUAAGUGCAUCACACAUACAGUGCAUUCGGAAAGUUCCUGGGGCCCAGUGUUCCUCCAAAGGCAUCUGUUGUGACAACUGCAAGCUGCGUACAGGUGGAUGGAUGUGUUGGCAGCCCCUGGGGGAGUGUGACCUCCCAGAGCACUGCACCGGUGCCUCUCCCUACUGCCCCCCCAACGUGUUCCUGCAGAACGGCGAGGAAGGCUCCUCCUACUGCUACAGUGGUGUCUGCACCAGCCUCAACACACAGUGCCAGAUGUUGUGGGGACCUAGUGAGUUACACUAUUGGUCAAAUGUUCUGGACCCGAUAACCAUUGUGAUUGAUACCACUGUGGGGAGCUAGUGGCUAGUUAUUUGGACUUGUUUCACUACUUUGACCAAGUACUGUAGAACCUCGAGAUCCAAACCCCAGUGUCCUGGACUGACUGGUCAGCGGAACUGGAACUUUUUAAAAGCAACAGAGAAUACUUCCCUGGACAAAGGAUUCCUAUAUACUGCAAGCCCAAAACCCACCAUGGUGUAUAUCGCAGUCAUUACAUUCAGUGAGACAUUUUACUUCACCUGUGGAAACAGAGGCGACAUACUCUUAAAGAAAACACAAAUAUAUUUCCCUUGGUUGACUAAUUGACUAAGGGGUUGACUGAUCUUGAACCCAGAACCAAAUCGACUACUUGAUCACACAUGGUAUAAGGGGUUGACAGCAGUUGGUUGAGUUAACAGUUGUUGAACUAGACACAACCCUAGGUGCCAGCCUCUGAAUGCCAUCUAAACAGCUUUCUCCUACUUUCCCAGAAGUACUAUAUGUGGGGUGAAUGCCAGCAUGUACAAGAGUAAUUCCACUAAGGAGGACCUACGGGAUAAAUAACAACAUCCUGAACCUUAGAGACAGAUCACAUACACAAUGUGUGGAAGUAUCGUUGAACAAUGCAAGUGGCACGAAUACAAAUAGCACAGUUCCAAUUUCUUUUUAGUUUAACCUAAAAGACAACUGAUCAAUAUAUAGCUGAUCCAUCCUCCAACAAUAAACAUGACAAAGACAUCUCUUUUAAAGAAACUGUUCAGCUGAAAAAGAUUCCCAGCCAUGGAGACCGUUAGCAGCCCCAAUGGUCAUCUCAAACACCUUAGAAGUGUGUAGAGUGAGAAAGAGACAUAAAACAAAAUGUAUGAACCGAUUACACAUUUAUAAGCUACAGGCAGUGCAUCAUGAACGUGACAGAACAGCUACUACUAUAGGCAUAUAUAGUACAAAACCACAGUCAUUCAUACCUUCCAUCCAUAGUAUCCUAACUGUUCUAUAAACAUCUAUGAAUGAACUGAGUGCUCACCCCAGAGUCUUGGAGUUUCCUCUGGAAUAACUCGACAGCUGUUCCUCGGAGAGGAUAUUGGAGGGAGGGGCACGGCAUUCCUUCAAGUUGUAGCAAAUUGAAUCAAGGCUUGCUGUGUUGGGAGGGGUGAAACAAAACAUCUUACCAUAGUUAAUAGGUGACUACUUAGCUCAGUAAAUAGGUUAUUUAGAUUUAAAUUAACAGUCCAUGCAUGACAACAUGUUGGUUGUUGUUGGCAUGUUACUCCUUCAUAGUCUUUACAGGAUACAUCAAAGGGUGUGAUUGUGAAUGUUACUGAUUCAGCAAGCAGUCAUUUGAUUUGUCUUUGUAUUAGUUAGCUACUCAUAAGGAAAACAAAAAUCAUCUUUAAUUGAGUAAUGUGCUGCUAUAUUGAUCUACUCUCAAGCAAUAUUUUAUAAUAAUGAUACCAUUUCAGAUCACCUACCUUUGCCUUCUGUUAAAAUGAAUGGGAUAAGCAGUUUUUCUUCUUCCAGUAACACACCCAGCGAAGGGUAGUGGUUUGUAGAAUGCACUGCCUACCCUGACUGCACAUCACUGGAGAAACAAGGGGCAAAUUUGUUUUGUGUGGCCUGGUUCUCCAGGUGAGCACGGUUUGCUCAUUUUCAACCUUUCCAUUGGUCCUAAAGACAAAUCUCCAUCCACCAGGGCACCAGGCCAUGCAAAACAAACUCGCCCAAAGCAAGACCACUAAUCAAUUCCUCCUACUGAUCUGUUGGGGGGUGAGGCUAUUAAAUCAGGGAUGGAGGAAAUUGCCCUCAUGUCAUGAAUUAUAUUUAGCCUACAGCGCCCCAGCUUUUAGUAGAGUGCCACUCAACAACAUGCAUUCUCAGUUUCACUUCAAAUCAAUAAGGCAAAAGAUGAAUGGCUGAUUUGAGUGCAUAUGAUGUCAGGUUGGCAUUUCACCUCCAGAAAAGCAUUAAACAGUUGGAACCAGAUGGAAAUAAGGUUACAGUGACCUGUGUAAACUUCUACCAAUAUAGACACUAUAACACUUGAAGAGGAAAUAUUACAUUUACUGAAUGAAAGAAUGAUACACUGUCAGAAAUCAAGAUAUUAACUCUACAGUAAUAUGAAAUAGCAAAGAGAAUAACAGUCCUACUUGAUAUAUUAGGAACCACUACAGAGCAAUACAUUCAUCAGGACAGAACCAUCACCAGGACACGACUGCUCACAUUGAUGACAAAACAAUCAGACACAUUCACAGCGUGUCACACUUCCUAAUGAUAAUCUUCAUGCACAGUUUAGGU